UACGGGGGGGGGCAAGCGUUUGUUCGGAAUUACUGGGCGUAAAGGGCUCGUAGGUGGCCAACCAAGUCAGACGUGAAAUCCCCAGGCUCAACUUGGGAACUGCGUCUGAUACUGGAUGGCUUGAAUUCGGGAGAGGGAUGCAGAAUUCCAGGUGUAGCGGUGAAAUGCGUAGAUAUCUGGAGGAAUACCGGUGGCGAAGGCGGCAUCCUGGACCGAGAUUGACACUGAUGAGCGAAAAGCUAGGGGAGCAAACGGG
rnacentral:rRNA from 1 species